CCAUGGCAGCUGAGACAUGAGAACAGUGAGGCCGUGUGGAACGAGCUGGCCUACUUGAAGAACCUCACCAGGAAACUCUCGAUUGAAAAAGCCGGCGUAGAAGAGGAGCUGGACAUGGUGCGGGUCCAAGCUGCUAUGGACCGGGCCACGGUGAAGGAGCUCCACUUGUGUCUUGCUAAUGAACACCAAGAAUUGCUUCACAAAGUGCUGGAGGAGCGCCAGGUCAAAAGCAGCACACCGAAAAAGCU